UACGAAGGGGGCUAGCGUUGCUCGGAAUUACUGGGCGUAAAGGGCGCGUAGGCGGCACUGUUAGUCAGGCGUGAAGUUCCUGGGCUCAACCUGGGGACUGCGCUUGAUACGGCAGAGCUAGAGGAUGGAAGAGGCUCGCGGAAUUCCCAGUGUAGAGGUGAAAUUCGUAGAUAUUGGGAAGAACACCGGUGGCGAAGGCGGCAUCCUGGACCAACACUGACGCUGAGUGAGCGAAAGCCAGGGGAGCAAACGGG
rnacentral:rRNA from 1 species